GUAUUGCCAUCAUUCAGUUGGGCACUCUAGCCGAGGAACUGCCGGUAAUAAACCGGAGGAAGGUGGGGAUGACGUCAAAUCAUCAUGCCCCUUAUGACCUGGGCUACACACGUGCUACAAUGGUUGGUACAACGAGUUGCGGGUCGGUGACGGCGAGCUAAUCUCUUAAAAGCCAAUCUCAGUUCGGAUUGUAGGCUGCAACUCGCCUACAUGAAGUCGGAAUCGCUAGUAAUCGCGGAUCAGCACGCCGCGGUGAAUACGUUCCCGGGCCUU
rnacentral:rRNA from 1 species